AUUGAACGCUGGCGGCAUGCCUUACACAUGCAAGUCGAACGGCAGCACGGGUGCUUGCACCUGGUGGCGAGUGGCGAACGGGUGAGUAAUACAUCGGAACAUGUCCUGUAGUGGGGGAUAGCCCGGCGAAAGCCGGAUUAAUACCGCAUUCGAUCUACGGAUGAAAGCGGGGGACCUUCGGGCCUCGCGCUAUAGGGUUGGCCGAUGGCUGAUUAGAUAGUUGGUGGGGUAAAGGCCUACCAAGGCGACGAUCAGUAGCUGGUCUGAGAGGACGACCAGCCACACUGGGACUGAGCCACGGCCCAGACUCCUACGGGAGGCAGCAGUGGGGAAUUUUGGACAAUGGGCGAAAGCCUGAUCCAGCAAUGCCGCGUGUGUGAAGAAGGCCUUCGGGUUGUAAAGCACUUUUGUCCGGAAAGAAAUCCUUGGCCCUAAUACGGUCGGGGGAUGACGGUACCGGAAGAAUAAGCACCGGCUAACUACGUG
rnacentral:rRNA from 1 species